rnacentral:rRNA from 71 species
UUGACCUCGGAUCAGGUAGGGAUACCCGCUGAACUUAAGCAUAUCAAUAAGCGG